rnacentral:rRNA from 1 species
GAUGAACGCUGACAGAAUGCUUAACACAUGCAAGUCAACUUGGAUUUGGGGUUUUAACUUCGGUUUGGUUGGCGGACGGGUGAGUAACGCGUAAAGAACUUGCCUCACAGCUAGGGACAACAUUUGGAAACGAAUGCUAAUACCUAAUAUUAUGAUAAUCGGGCAUCCUAUAAUUAUGAAAGCUAUAAGCGCUGUGAGAGAGCUUUGCGUCCCAUUAGCUAGUUGGAGAGGUAACGGCUCACCAAGGCGAUGAUGGGUAGCCGGCCUGAGAGGGUGAUCGGCCACAAGGGGACUGAGAGACGGCCCUUACUCAUACGGGAGGCAGCAGUGGGUAAUAUUGGACAAUGGACCGAGAGUCUGAUGCAGCAAUUCUGUGUGCACGAUGAAGUUUUUCGGAAUGUAAAGAGCUUUCAGUUGGGAAGAAACAAAUGACGGUACCAACAGAAGAAGUGACGGCUAAAUCCGUG